GGCGUAGUCGAUGGGAAACAGGUUAAUAUUCCUGUACUUGGUGUUACUGCGAAGGGGGGACGGAGAAGGCUAUGUUAGCCGGGCGACGGUUGUCCCGGUUUAAGCAUGUAGGCUGGUUAUCCAGGCAAAUCCGGAUAACCAAGGCUGAGGUGUGAUGACGAGGCACUACGGUGCUGAAGUAACAAAUGCCCUGCUUCCAGGAAAAGCCUCUAAGCAUCAGGUAACAUCAAAUCGUACCCCAAACCGACACAGGUGGUCAGGUAGAGAAUACCAAGGC
rnacentral:rRNA from 1 species